UAAAAAAAAUGAUACUGUCAUGCGAGAAAUAAUGCAUAUUCAACAUAAAAACAGGGAAAAUUGAAGCACGAAAUCCAUAAAUCUCCAAAAUUAGUUCUUCAGCGUAUUGAGCAAAUAGAGGCUAAAGAGAGUAAUCGCAGAGCAAAGAUAGGCUAAAGAGACCGAUCGCACCUGUUGAUGGCAUCCUUAGUCACUCGGUCAUCAAUCUCCAUAAAUAGUAAUCAAAUAACAAGCUCUAAUUGAUCUGAUUAUGAUUAUGAGGGCUCGAUGAAGUUGUGUAAUUUUCGAAUAAAAGCAUCGCGAUGGGUCGCACCCUGGAAGAUGAUUUUAUUCAUGCGGGAAUUUGAAGUUGUAACCCUUUCCCAUAUGAAAUUAACGAAACCACAUAAUCAAUAAAGCCAGUGAUUAUAACGGCUGUGCCUAGAUCACAUAAGUUGAAAUUGGAAGAGGACCUUAAAAGCUUUUUAGUUAACCUCACAAGGCCAGCAGCUGUGAAGAUUGAAGAUAUUUGUGUCUAUUGUUUUGGUUGAGUUAUUUUUGAAUUUGGCAUUGCUGAUAAUGUUGAAAUUAAAGUAGUGAGGAGCAUCAAUGGGCUGGGAUAAUUAGGAACAAUAUAUUUAUUCCGACGAGGAAAAAGAAGGUAGUUAGGAAUCGGGCAUUACUAUUUUGUAUUUUGUUAUAUUGAAUGAAAUUGAGCAACCUUUUAACAUUAAAUUAUUGUUUAUUAUUUUGAACAGCUAAACAAUAUAAGGAGAAGGAAUUAGAUAUGUAACGAAAUAAAAUUUAGUAUGAACUGUGAUUUAUUUUGCAAA